rnacentral:piRNA from 1 species
UGGGAUGAUUAUGGGAAUGGAAUUGUUUU